rnacentral:rRNA from 1 species
UACGUAGGGUGCGAGCGUUGUCCGGAAUUAUUGGGCGUAAAGAGCUCGUAGGCGGUGUGUCACGUCGGCCGUGAAAACCUGCAGCUUAACUGUGGGCGUGCGGUCGAUACGGGCAUCACUGGAGUUCGGCAGGGGAGACUGGAAUUCCUGGUGUAGCGGUGAAAUGCGCAGAUAUCAGGAAGAACACCUAUGGCGAAGGCAGCACUCUGGGACGGUACUGACGCUGAGACGCGAAAGCGUGGGGAGCGAACAGG